rnacentral:misc_RNA from 1 species
CUUGUAAAGUGUUUUCAAUUUCCCGGCAGGCCAUGACUGCUUCCACGGCGUGGACUCUGACAUGUUGUUGAAGUUGGUCCUUGAAACUACACAAUACUAUCAAAUACUGUGCCAAAAAGUUGUCAAGUUCUUGCCUCUCAUGGGGAGAGAGAGAAUGGCCAUGUUGGUUAUGCUGUGAAGCAUAAGACCUAAGAAUAUGGUGAGACCGUGAUAACUGAGCAUCUAUAAGAGGCAACUGGUCAAUCGGUGUAGCAACUCGGAGACAAGACACAUGGGCUGCUAGAAGCUGCUCAUAUAGUGGAUGGCUAGCUAUCUCUGCCUUGAGUUGGCGAGUCUGGUCACCGGAUGGAGACACAGAAACUUCUCUUCCACUGCUUAAACCACCAAGUGCACUACCACUAUCACUGCCCAUCAUGCCUAAGUUUGGUUCUUGCAUUUGUAUGUUAGGACUAAUAGAAUACGUAUUAUGUUUGCAUAUAUCUAUGUAUAUAUAGAGAGAGAAGUAAAAAAGGGAAAGUUUACAAAAACAAAAGGGAAAUUAUAAAGAAAGCAAAGAUAGAUAGGUUAGGUAUCUGUAGAGGGUUUUUAGGACCACAAGAAAGACCCUUGUGUUUCAGAGUGAUACAGUGUUUAAUGGGUGCUGCAAGGGGGAAAGAGAGAGAAAGAACAGUGCUUUCUUGUUAGUGGUGUAAGAGAGAUAGAUAGAAAGGGGGCCGGAGGGCAGUAUAUUGGGAUCUGAGACACAAAACUUUCUGCACCAGUGCUGAGAUGUUGCAGAAGUUUUACAUACACAGGGAAAGCUAAAAAGAUGCACAAGCAUGAAACAGGUGGGAGAGGGAGAGGGA